UUAGAAUUUAGGGUUUGGUUAGGGUUUGAUUUAGGAUUUGGAUUAGGUAUGGGAUUAGGAUUUAGAGUUUGGUUAGGAUUUGAUUUAGGGUUUGGAUUAGGGUUUAGAAUUUGGUUAGGGUUUGAUUUAAGGUUUGGUUUAGGAUUUAGGGUUUGGUUUAGGGUUUAGGGUUGAUUUAGGGUUUGGUUUAGGGUUUAGAAAUAGGGUUUGAUUUAGGGUUUAAUUUAAGGUUUGUUUAGGACUUGACUAGGGUUUAGGAUUUGUUAGGAUUUAAGAUUUAAUUAGGUUUGGUCUAAAGUUUGAGUGAAAUUCAAUAGGGUUUUAAUUAGAAUUAAAUUAAGGUUGAAUUGACAUAUAUUUGAGUAAUAUUUGUGAUCAUUCUAAUAUUUCUUUAAGAAUUUUAUUGUUUGUUAUCUAUAUUUAAGGAUUUCGACCAAUAGAGAUGAAGUUCCUUAUUUCUACCUUCAUCCAACCAUGCCUUGGUUUCAUCCCUCCUAAUUAACCUCCUAUUAGUUUAAAUCUUC
rnacentral:lncRNA from 1 species